AUAUGGGACCAACACAUUACAUUUAAUAUUUUUAUUCAGUGUAGAACAUAAUUAGGUCUAGUCUGAGGCUUAGUCAACAAACUGUACCUGAUCAUCAUCAGCAGGGGUGGGGAGGCAUGUGGAUGAAGUAUGACACUCUAUUAUAAAUCCAGAGUUAAAAACAUGGCGUGAUGUUUCUGCCAGAGACCAUCGGUUUAAUGUUUUUUCUUUUCCUCAGAGAAGAGGCGUGGUCUUUCGUCCAGCCAGAUGGAGCUGGGGACGGGUAGCUCCUCCCACAUGGGGUGGGUUUCCUGACGAGGGUGUGGCUUUUGAGAACCCCGCCUAUUCGACAGCUUUGAGGAGGUGGAGCUCCACAGAGUGAUGAAGAGCUCCAAGAGGAGCAGAGAUGGAGAGAACACACGAGUCAGGAUGAAGAACGUGGUGGGCGUCAUCGCCAGGUACAUGGCGGCCCUGCAGGAGUUCAGACGCAGCGUCUCCAUGAAGGUGGCGUUCGACCGCGUGGGCGUCGACCGCAACACCAUCUCACGGACGGCCGCCAUCGCCGAGCUGAGCCUGGCCGCUCCGGAGGUGUUCCACGCC